rnacentral:lncRNA from 1 species
UUUUUAUAAAUCUAAAAUUCUAAAAUAUAAUAUAUUCAUAUCAUAAUAUGUUGUUUUAAAAUAAUGAUCAUGAACAAAAAAAUAAAGAAAAUGAAAGUUUAUAAAGAUAUAGAUGGGUUAAAGUUAUGAAAACAAAAAAAGAUGUGAAAAUAACGUAGAACUACUUUUAUUAUAAACGUGAAACCUAUUAGACGGAUACGUCGG